UAGCCUAACGGCUGAACCAGCAACUUGGAGGAAUGAAUGGCGAAAGCUAAUUGUACCGAUUUUAUCGAAUAAAGUUCUGGGUGGAAUAUGAUGAUGACAUUUUCUAACAUUUCUUGACCAAACUACGUGCCAGCAGUCGCGGUAAUACGUUACAGAUAAGUGUUAUUCAUCUUUAUUGGGUUUAAAGGGUACCUAGACGGUAAAUUAAGCCACUUAUUUAUAGAGUUUAAUAUGAUGGGGCUAAUAUGUACUUGUAGAAAUGAAAUUCUUUGAUACCCGCACAGUCAGAGGCGAAAGCAUCUCUUUAUGUAUUAACUGACGUUG
rnacentral:rRNA from 1 species